rnacentral:rRNA from 1 species
AGCGGAGGGAUCAUUGCUGGAACGCGCCC